UGGGGAUUAUUGGACAAUGGGCGCAAGCCUGAUCCAGCCAUGCCGCGUGAGUGAUGAAGGCCCUAGGGUUGUAAAGCUCUUUCACCGGUGAAGAUAAUGACGGUAACCGGAGAAGAAGCCCCGGCUAACUUCGUGCCAGCAGCCCCGGUAAUACGAAGGGGGCUAGCGUUGUUCGGAUUUACUGGGCGUAACGCGCACGUAGGCGGACUUUUAAGUCAGGGGUGAGAUCCCGGGGCUCAACCCCGGAACUGCCUUUGAUACUGGAAGUCUUGAGUAUGGUAGAGGGGAGUGGAAUUCCGAGUGUAGAGGUGAAAUUCGUAGAUAUACGGAGGAACACCAGUGGCGAAGGCGGCUCACUGGACCAUUACUGACGCUGAGGUGCGAAAGCGUGGGGAGCAAACAGG
rnacentral:rRNA from 1 species